UACAGAGGGGGCAAGCGUUGUUCGGAAUUACUGGGCGUAAAGGGCGCGUAGGCGGCCUUCUAAGUCGAACGUGAAAUCCCCGGGCUCAACCCGGGAACUGCGUCCGAUACUGGAUGGCUUGAAUUCGGGAGAGGGAUGCAGAAUUCCAGGUGUAGCGGUGAAAUGCGUAGAUAUCUGGAGGAAUACCGGUGGCGAAGGCGGCAUCCUGGACCGACAUUGACGCUGAACGGCGAAAGCUAGGGGAGCAAACGGG
rnacentral:rRNA from 1 species